rnacentral:tRNA from 1 species
GCAUUGGUGGUUCAAUGGUAGAAUUUGUGCAUGCCAUACAGUAGGCCUGGGUUCGAUUCCUGACCAAUGCA